GACGAACGCUGGCGGCGUGCUUAACACAUGCAAGUCGAACGAUGAAGCCGGAGCUUGCUCUGGUGAAUUAGUGGCGAACGGGUGAGUAACACGUGAGUAACCUGCCCUUGACUCUGGGAUAACUGCUAGAAAUGGUAGCUAAUACCGGAUACGACCCUCGGAGGCAUCUCCUGGGGGUGGAAAGAAUUUCGGUCAAGGAUGGACUCGCGGCCUAUCAGCUAGUUGGUGAGGUAAAGGCUCACCAAGGCGACGACGGGUAUCCGGCCUGAGAGGGUGACCGGCCACACUGGGACUGAGACACGGCCCAGACUCCUACGGGAGGCAGCAGUGGGGAAUAUUGCACAAUGGGCGCAAGCCUGAUGCAGCGACGCCGCGUGAGGGAUGACGGCCUUCGGGUUGUAAACCUCUUUUAGCAGGGAAGAAGCGAAAGUGACGGUACCUGCAGAAAAAGCACCGGCUAACUACGUGCCAGCAGCCGCAGUAA
rnacentral:rRNA from 1 species